CCUACGGUGCGCUGCAGUGGGGAAUAUUGGACAAUGGGCGAAAGCCUGAUCCAGCCAUGCCGCGUGUGUGAAGAAGGCCUUCGGGUUGUAAAGCACUUUCAGUGGGGAAGAAAGCCUUGGGGCUAAUACCCUCGAGGAAGGACAUCACCCACAGAAGAAGCACCGGCUAACUCCGUGCCAGCAGCCGCGGUAAUACGGAGGGUGCGAGCGUUAAUCGGAAUUACUGGGCGUAAAGCGCGCGUAGGCGGUCUGAUAAGCCGGUUGUGAAAGCCCCGGGCUCAACCUGGGAACGGCAUCCGGAACUGUCAGGCUAGAGUGCAGGAGAGGAAGGUAGAAUUCCCGGUGUAGCGGUGAAAUGCGUAGAGAUCGGGAGGAAUACCAGUGCCGAAGGCGGCCUUCUGGACUGACACUGACGCUGAGGUGCGAAAGCGUGGGUAGCAAACAGGAUUAGAUACCCUAGUAGUC
rnacentral:rRNA from 1 species